rnacentral:rRNA from 1 species
GCCGAGAGUAACGACUGGACUAGACGGCGGGCCGCCCUGCCACUCGUGCUUCCGGAAUAUCUGGACAUGGUAUCCUGGCGGCCCACGCCGACGGUGGUGUUAUCAGUGAGCACGACAUACCAUUCCCUUUGCCCGUCUCCAACUACUCCCUCGCUUUCCCCUCUAUGGAAAGCCCCCGUUCCUUUAAAGAUUAAGAUUUUUGUUUGGCAACUUCUACGGGAUCGUCUCCCCUCGGGGACGGAGGUACUUAAGUGGCACGGACCUGGUGAUGGUUUAUGCCCUCUCUGUGCGGUACCUGAGACCGGGACCCAUAUCCUCUUCUUGUGUACGGUAGCGAGGGUACUUUGGACAUACGUCCGCGAGGCGUUGGGGCCUGACUGGGAGGCCCUAAAUCUUGCGGACUUUCUCCAGCUUAGGGCUUUACAGCCGUCACGGCAUCACCGCCUAUUUUGGCUUAUUUUUGCGGCGAUGUCGUGGACUCUUUGGACGACUAGGAAUAAGAUGGUGAUCGAGAAGGUUUUCCCGAAUAAGGCAUCUGACUCCUCCUUCAAAUUCCUUGCUUUCUUGCAGCACUGGCACCCGCUAUCGAGGCAACGUGAUCGGGAUCAACUUGGUCUGAUGAUGGAUGCGCUUCUGGCUUCGGCUCGUCGACUAUCGUCCACAUAG